GUGGGGAAUCUUGCGCAAUGGGCGAAAGCCUGACGCAGCCAUGCCGCGUGAAUGAUGAAGGUCUUAGGAUUGUAAAAUUCUUUCACCGGGGACGAUAAUGACGGUACCCGGAGAAGAAGCUCCGGCUAACUUCGUGCCAGCAGCCGCGGUAAUACGAAGGGGGCUAGCGUUGCUCGGAAUUACUGGGCGUAAAGGGCGCGUAGGCGGACAGCUUAGUCAGAGGUGAAAGCCCAGGGCUCAACCUUGGAAUUGCCUUUGAUACUGGCUGUCUUGAGUUUUGGGAGAGGUGAGUGGAACUCCGAGUGUAGAGGUGAAAUUCGUAGAUAUUCGGAAGAACACCAGUGGCGAAGGCGACUCACUGGCCCAAUACUGACGCUGAGGCGCGAAAGCGUGGGGAGCAAACAGGAUUAGAAACCCCAGUAGUCC
rnacentral:rRNA from 1 species